UAAAAUUUUUUGGAACUAAACAAGGCCCUAGUAGCCUCACCUAGACACCGUAAUGCUAGAUUCAGGAGAUGUUUGGUUGCUAGCUACAGUUUGCCACGCUUUAUCUUAGGCAAGUUUAAUCAAAUUGGCAAGUGUUUGAUUGACAACUAAGUUUAGGCAUGAUUCUUUUGGACUACACAUGUCAUAGAGUUAAAAAGUGUGGCAAGAUUCCUUUAGACAUAACAAAAUGUGGCAAUCAAUUUGCUAGCCACACUUUUUUUAGUUUGCCACACUUAUCUAAAGUUAAGUUGUGGUAAACUAUGAUUAACAACAAACAUCCCCUUAGUGCGGUAGUGCCGAGUGGGCGAACCGUCGCCGUCAGCGCGCGCCAUCUCUUCUCGCCACGGCGCGGCGGCAUGUGGCGGGGCGUGCUGUGCUGCCGUGCUGGCGCACGAAUGGCGCUCGCGCACCAUAUACCCUGAUCCCGACACGAAAAAGAGGAAACCCCUCAGCCCUCACUAGAUUCCUAGUGGGCCAGCCUCGUCGUAGGCCGAUAGCCAGUCCAGCCACACCCACACAACACGCGGACGCCCCACUUCACCACGGCACCACCGGCCGGCCACCGGGCGCCAAAAGGAACGGAACGGCGCAGCCGCGGCGGCGGCGGCGGCUGUAAGCUCCCGCACCAGCGACCGGCGGACACGUACACGGUAUAUCGAUCUCCCCUCGCACAGUCCCACGCAACCCGUCCUCGGCCUCGUUCCGUCCGCCAGCAAUGCCGCUGGCGCUCGCGCAGCUGCAGGACCUGCGGGACCGCAUCUCCGACCACCUCCGCCCAUGGAGCCGCUCCGCGCAGUUCUGGGUCCGCGCCGCGGACAUCUACACCAGCUAUAAGGUGUGCCAGCUGCGGGCGGGGUUUGUGAAGGAUGAGGACGAGCGGGAGGCCAUGUGGGAGCAGCAGCACGAGCUCGGCGCCCAGAAGAUGUACUCCCUCUGCUCCGAGCUCGGCGGUCUUUUCCUCAAGGCUGCUCAAAUUCUGGGAAAACCUGACCUGGCACCGAUGGCUUGGGUGAAGAGACUUGUCACGCUGUGUGAUCAGGCCCCAGCCACGCCAUUUGUUGUGGUUAGAGAUGUUGUGGAGAAACAGUUUGGAAAGAACUUCGAUGACAUAUUCGAAUUCUUCGAUGUCGAGCCUGUUGGGUCUGCUUCUAUUGCACAGGUGCAUCGAGCAAGGCUUAAAUUAUCAAAGGCAGACGUUGCUGUCAAGGUUCAACAUCCAGGAGCCGAGCAUUUGAUGAUGGUUGAUAUUCGGAAUAUGCAAGCAAUGGCCUUGUUUCUGCAGAAGUAUGACAUCAACUUUGAUCUAUUCUCUGCCACCAAAGAGAUGGAAAAGCAGAUAUGCUAUGAAUUUGACUUUGUGCGUGAAGCAAGAGCAAUGGAAAGAAUACGAGAAUUCCUACGUGUCACCAAUAAGAAACCUCCAGUUAUGGUGCCUCGUGUGAUUCCUGGGAUGGUUAGCAGAGAGGUUUUGGUAAUGGAAUUCAUCAAAGGGACCCCAAUAAUGAAUCUUGGCAAUGAAAUGGCUAAAAGGGGCAUCGAUCCUGGUGGUAAGAUUGCAGCAAUGGCAAAGCAGAAGAUUUUGUCAGAUCUUACUCUUGCAUAUGGUCAAAUGAUCUUGAAGGAUGGCUUUUUCCAUGCAGAUCCACACCCAGGAAACAUCCUUAUCUGUAAGGACACAGAGGUGGCUUUACUUGAUUAUGGACAAGUGAAAGAAAUGCCAGAAGAUUUGCGGCUUGCUUAUGCAAAUCUUGUAGUUGCAAUGGCUGAUGAUGAUUUCUUGAGGGCUGAGGAAAGUUUCAGGGAGCUCGGUAUCCGAACAUGGGCCAUAACUGAUAACAAGCUAGAAGAAUUGUUUCAAUUAUCCCUGCGAAUGUUUGAUACAAGAUUACCACCAGGUGUAACUGUUAUGUCACCUUUUGCCGAUGAUUCUUCGCUUAAUAAAAUUGGAGUGGAGAGCUUCCCGGAAGAGUUAUUUUCAGUGCUUCGAACAAUUCAGCUUUUGCGAGGGUUGACUGUAGGCAUGGGCCUUACAUUCUCGUGCGCUCAGCAUUGGAGACCAAUCGCUGAGGAAGUAUUGUUAAAGGCUGGAAGACAAAAUGCUUCAAAAUCAAGAAAUCAAAAGAGAAGUUUUCUCAGGAGACUUUUUUGGUGAAGUAGGGAUAGGGACCAUCAAAGAAUAUGGUAUACGAACAAUUCUAUGAUGAAAUGGAAGUAGCCAUAAAUCUCAAGCCUUCGAUUCUUAUAUUCACAGUACAUCUGUUCACUUUUUUUUUGAGAGGCAUCUGUUCACAUUCAUUUACAUUGGAUUUGCAGGCCAAAAAUCUCGGCCCAUUAUCAAACGUGCAAACCUACGGAACCAUCCUCCAGGAGAUCAAUGCAAGGAGACGGAGCUUCACAAGAGCAGAUUUCGUCUUUGAAGUGUGAAGAUCGAAUGUUGACGCUCAUCUAGUCGCUAGAAGCUCUAUAAAUUUAUUGAUAGGUAGACAUGCUUGGUUUUUGGAGCCUCCUGAUGGAGUUUGUAAUCCUUAUCCUGCUGAUUGAAUAAAGUCAGAGCUCCCCUAAAAAAAGGAAAAAAAAAACAUGUACACAUUCAUGCUCAAAAUACUCCAAAUAUCGUGUGGGGACAAACACAAUACUCCAUCCGUUCUUUUAAUUUGUCACAUUGAACAUUGAUCUUUACUUGGUCAAA